AUGUAUAUCAGUUUGUUGCACAAAUUAUGCAGCAACGCCAAAGCUGUAAUUGAUGGUAUUUUAUCUUGCAUAUACGAGUUACAGGCAUUAGUCUUAUUCUUUUCUACGAAGACUACCGUAUAUGGUUUGAAUCAUUGUUAUAUAUUUUCUUCUGAUGCAAGCCUGUAUCUACAGUUCCAUUCUCAUUUCCUUCUUUCUUUUUUAUUCUGCAGGGCACAUGUCUCCAUAGUACACUUACAAUUAACUUCUUGGGUAUAUCAUUGUUGUUGCCUCCUAAUUUGUGUGAUGCAAAAAGUUGUGCAUUUUGUGUGUGGAUCUGAGAUGCCUAGGAAGGUUGGGAAGUGA
rnacentral:rRNA from 1 species